rnacentral:rRNA from 1 species
GGCGGCGUGCCUAACACAUGCAAGUCGAGCGAGAGUGAACCCUUCCGGGGGGACGUCUAGCGGCGGACGGGUGAGUAACACGUGGGUAACCGUGCCUCAAAGAGGGGGAUAGCCUCCCGAAAGGAGAUUAAUACCGCAUAACAUUAUUUCUUCGCAUGAAGAGAUAAUCAAAGGAGUAAUCCGCUUUGAGAUGGACCCGCGGCGCAUUAGCUAGUUGGUGAGGUAAUGGCUCACCAAGGCAACGAUGCGUAGCCGACCUGAGAGGGUGAUCGGCCACAUUGGAACUGAGAUACGGUCCAGACUCCUACGGGAGGCAGCAGUGGGGAAUAUUGCGCAAUGGGGGAAACCCUGACGCAAGCAACGCCGCGUGGGUGAAGAAGGCCUUCGGGUUGUAAAGCUCUGUCUUCUGGGACGAUAAUGACGGUACCAGAGGAGGAAGCCACGGCUAACUACGUGCCAGCAGCUGC